UACGAAGGGGGCUAGCGUUGCUCGGAAUCACUGGGCGUAAAGCGCACGUAGGCGGCUUUGUAAGUUAGAGGUGAAAGCCCGGGGCUCAACCCCGGAAUUGCCUUUAAGACUGCAUCGCUUGAAUCCGGGAGAGGUGAGUGGAAUUCCGAGUGUAGAGGUGAAAUUCGCAGAUAUCGGGAGGAACACCAAUGGCGAAGGCAGCUCGCUGGGACGGUACUGACGCUGAGGCGCGAAAGCGUGGGGAGCAAACAGG
rnacentral:rRNA from 1 species